UUUCAUUUUACAACCACUCAAAUCAAAUCCAGUAACUUUAUUCUUUUUCACAAGUCUCAUCAAUUUUUUUAGGCCAAUUAGCAUAAAAAAUUCACUUAUUUUAGGCUUUUACAAAAUCGGGCCACCUUUUUCGUUUUUGCAGAUUCGGUCCGCUUUUUCAGCAAACUGACCAAAAUACCCUUUUUACUUUUUCUCUUUCCUUUUUCUCUCUCCUUUUCGUUUCUCUCGUUUUUUUUUUUCUCGUCGGCAGAGCGGAGGCGGAAACGGUCCGUCUCGCCUCUCACCCUCAUUCUCUCGCCCUCGCCCUCGCCCUUGCCCUCGUCCACGCACCCCCUACCUUCCUCACCUCCGACCCAACUAAGGCCGCGCCGCGACUUUUUUUUUUUUUGCUUUUNAGUAUAAUUUUUAUCUUAAAGUAGUAGUUUACAUUUUAAAUAGUACAACUUAUAAUUUUUUUUGUAAUUAACGAUACAAUUUUAUUUUCAUCCUUCUUUUUAUAUAAUUUUUUAUCUUUAUUUUUUUUUUCUGUUUUUUCUAUAAUUUUUUUUGUCACCUUCUCUGCCAACAGUUACGGCGCCGGUGACGACGCCGCUAAAGACCCCCCGCUUCGAGGCUGUAGCGCCGCAGUGACCUUUACGGUGUUGACGUCGGCGCCGACGAAAAUAAAUCGUCGUUGGAGGCGGCAGAAAAUGAGGGAGAGGGAGAGAUGAGAAGGGAGGGAAAGGGCGAGAGGCGUCGUCGUCGGAGACGGUGAAGAAGAGUCGAAGAAGAAAAGAAAAGAAAAAAGCAAAAAAAAAAGUCGCGACGCGGCCUUGGCGGGGUCGGAUGCGAGGAAGGUGGGGGGUGCAUGGACGAGGGCAAGGGCGAGG
rnacentral:lncRNA from 1 species